UGGGGAAUAUUGCACAAUGGGCGCAAGCCUGAUGCAGCGACGCCGCGUGCGGGAUGACGGCCUUCGGGUUGUAAACCGCUUUUGACUGGGAGCAAGCCCUUCGGGGUGAGUGUACCUUUCGAAUAAGCACCGGCUAACUACGUGCCAGCAGCCGCGGUAAUACGUAGGGUGCAAGCGUUAUCCGGAAUUAUUGGGCGUAAAGGGCUCGUAGGCGGUUCGUCGCGUCCGGUGUGAAAGUCCAUCGCUUAACGGUGGAUCCGCGCCGGGUACGGGCGGGCUUGAGUGCGGUAGGGGAGACUGGAAUUCCCGGUGUAACGGUGGAAUGUGUAGAUAUCGGGAAGAACACCAAUGGCGAAGGCAGGUCUCUGGGCCGUCACUGACGCUGAGGAGCGAAAGCGUG
rnacentral:rRNA from 1 species